UCAGCCUCCAGUAUUUAUGCUGCAGUAGUUUAUGUGUCGGGGGGCUAGGGUCAGUCUGUUACAUCUGGAGUAUUUCUCUUGUCUUAUCCGGUGUCCUGUGUGUAUUUAAAUAUGCUCUCUCUAAUUCUCUCUUUCUCUCUUUCUGUCUUUCUCUCGGAGGACCUGAGCCCUAGGACCAUGCCUCAGGACUACCUGGUAUGAUGACUCCUUGCUGUCCCCAGUCCACCUGGCCGUGCUGCUGCUCCAGUUUCAACUGUUCUGCCUGCGGCUAUGGAACCCUGACCUGUUCACGGACGGUGCAACAAGCACGUCCGGUGAACAGGUCAGGGUUCCAUAGCCGCAGGCAGAACAGUUGAAACUGGAGCAGCAGCACGGCCAGGUGGACUGGGGACAGCAAGGAGUCAUCAUACCAGGUAGUCCUGAGGCAUGGUCCUAGGGCUCAGGUCCUCCGAGAGAAAGACAGAAAGAGAGAAAGAGAGAAUUAGAGAGAGCAUAUUUAAAUACACACAGGACACCG
rnacentral:lncRNA from 1 species